rnacentral:tRNA from 1 species
GCCUCUUUAGCUCAGCUGGUAGAGCAGCGGUUUCGUAAACCGCAGGUCGGGGGUUCAAGUCCCCUGAGAGGCU